rnacentral:rRNA from 1 species
CCUACGGGAGGCAGCAGUGGGGAAUAUUGCACAAUGGGGGAAACCCUGAUGCAGCGACGCAGCGUGAGUGAAGAAGUAUUUCGGUAUGAAAAGCUCUAUCAGCAGGGAAGAAAAUGACGGUACCUGACUAAGAAGCCCCGACUAACUACGUGCCGGCAGCCGCGGUAAGACUGAGGGGGCAAUCGUUAUCCGGAUUUACUGGGUGUAAAGGGAGCGUAGACGGCAGAUCAAGUCUGAAGUGAAAGCCCGCGGCCCAACGGUGGGACUGCUUUGGAAACUGGCCGGCUAGAGUGCUGGAGAGGUAAGCGGAAUUCCGAGUGUAGCGGUGAAAUGCGUAGAUAUUAGGAGGAACACCAGUGGCGAAGGCGGCUUACUGGACAGUAACUGACGUUGAGGCUCGAAAGCGUGGGGAGCAAACAGGAUUAGAUACCCUUGUAGUC